GAUGAAGAACGUAGCGAAAUGCGAUAAGUAAUGUGAAUUGCAGAAUUCAGUGAACCAUCGAAUCUUUGAACGCACAUUGCGCCCGUCAGUAUUCUGGCGGGCAUGCCUGUUCGAGCGUCAUUACGCCCCUCAAGUCCCCUGUGGACUUGGUGUUGGGGAUCGGCGAGGCUGGUUUUCCAGCACAGCCGUCCCUUAAAUUAAUUGGCGGUCUCGCCGUGGCCCUCCUCUGCGCAGUAGUAAAACACUCGCAACAGGAGCCCGGCGCGGUCCACUGCCGUAAAACCCCCCAACUUUUUAUAGUUGACCUCGAAUCAGGUAGGACUACCCGCUGAACUUAAGCAUAUCAAUAAGCGGAGGA
rnacentral:misc_RNA from 1 species